rnacentral:rRNA from 1 species
UACGCAGGGGGCGAGCGUUAUCCGGAUUCACUGGGUGUAAAGGGAGCGUAGACGGCCAUGCAAGCCAGGGGUGAAAGCCCGGGGCCCAACCCCGGGACUGCCCUUGGAACUGCAUGGCUGGAGUGCGGGAGGGGCAGGCGGAAUUCCUGGUGUAGCGGUGAAAUGCGUAGAUAUCAGGAGGAACACCGGCGGCGAAGGCGGCCUGCUGGACCGCGACUGACGUUGAGGCUCGAAAGCGUGGGGAGCGAACAGG